rnacentral:lncRNA from 1 species
UUCUAGAUGUUCAGAGUGUGAUGGCUGUGUGUUGCCUGUUUUGGCCUGCUCCACUGAUAUGCUUAUGGAGAAUGCUUGCUGGUGUUGGAGACUUGGGGAAGGGGAGGCCAGGGGGGGUGGUCUGUGGCACCCACGAGGCAUGGACAGGGUGGAAGGGAGGCUGCAACUGGUGUUCUGUUGCACUGGUAGGGGUGACCCAGGUAAUUUUGUUUGGGGGAACAGCUAUGCAUGUAUUCUUAGAUACAUUCUUAAAAAUGUUUUUUUGAAGUCCUUUUGGAUGUUAAUUUGUUAUUGUGUUUUUUUGUUUUUUUGGCAACAGGUUUUGGUAAUCGCUGUGGAAAACCUAAAGGACCAAGAGAUCCACCUUCAGAAUGGACAUGAUUCAGGGAGUUAAAAGACACUUUAAAUUAUACUGGAAAAUUCAAGUGCCACUGAAAGCCAGAUUUAUAGUAUUCCAUCUUUAAAAUGUGGGACUGAUAGCAGUGUAGAUUGUUACCUUAAUAUUUUUUGCUGGGACCAUCUACCUGCCUUAUACUACACUUAGGAGAAAGUAUUACAUAUUGUUUAUUUUGUAACUUCAAGUAUUAUUGCCUUAAUGUCUCUUAACCCUGUUACAAGCUGCUUGUAGACCUGUUAAUAUAGUAAUACUUUUAUGAUAAACUGAGUUAAAGGACUACUCUUUUGCUGUUUUAUCAUGUAUGCAUUAUUUUGUAUAUGUACAGGGCAAGUAGGUAUAUAAUUUGAUAAAGUUGAAGUCCUAAAAUAUUAUUAACAGAAGAUGUAAGAAUUUCUGCAUGGUUUAAGUCUUUGUGUAUCUUACUUGUAAAUUAUUUGCCCUGAAAUUUUAGAAAACUGUUUCUGAAUUUUAAACUUGCUGGAUUCGUGUAGCCAGCAUUGCAGGUUAUCAGAGAUCAAAGAGUGUAAUAAUAAUACCUUUUGUAAAUUGUAAGCAAAAAGUUAUUUUUAUAUUAUAUACUGUCUAAUUGUUCACCCUAAUGGUUCUUGUUUUCGUCUAGUCAUGGAGAUUCAGUAAGUGCCUUGGAACAACAUUGACUUCCCUUAGCUCGAGUGUGUUACUUUCAAGUUUGAAUUCAACUGGGGUUAGAAGACUAUCAGAAUCUAUGUAUGUUUCAGGAUAUUUGUUGACCUGCCAUUAAAAAAACAAACAGUUUUACACUGCUA